GAAGAAAGGGGCGUAAAGCUCUGCUGAGGGAUGGGCCUGCGUUCCAUCAGGUAGUUGGUGAGGUAAAGGCUCACCAAGCCGACGACGGAUAGCCGGUCUGAGAGGAUGGCCGGCCACAAGGGCACUGAGACACGGGUCCUACUCCUACGGGAGGCAGCAGUGGGGGAUAUUGGACAAUGGGCGGAAGCCUGAUCCAGCGACGCCGCGUGCGGGAAGGAGCCCUUCGGGGUGUAAACCGCUGUGGUGGGAGACGAAUAAGGUAAGGAGUGGAAAGUCUUACCGAUGACGGUAUCCCACUAGGAAGCCCCGGCUAACUACGUGCCAGCAGCCGCGGUAAUACGUAGGGGGCGAGCGUUACCCGGAUUUACUGGGCGUAAAGGGGGCGUAGGCGGUCGUGGAAGUCCGGUGUGAAAGGCCACGGCUCAACUGUGGAACUGCGCUGGAAACCACGCGACUUGAGGGCGGUAGAGGGAGACGGAACUGCUGGUGUAGGGGUGAAAUCCGUAGAUAUCAGCAGGAACGCCGGUGGGGAAGCCGGUCUCCUGGGCCGCGCCUGACGCUGAGGCCCGAAAGCUAGGGGAGCGAACCGGAUUAGAUACCCGGGUAGUCCUAGCCGUAAACGAUGCCCACUAGGUGUGGGGGAGUGAUUCCUCCGUGCUGAAGCGAACGCGAUAAGUGGGCCGCCUGGCGAGUAUGCCCGCAAGGUUGAAACUCAAGGUAUUUGACGGGACCC
rnacentral:rRNA from 1 species